rnacentral:rRNA from 1 species
UUGAGCGAUUUACUUCGGUAAAGAGCGGCGGACGGGUGAGUAACGCGUGGGUAACCUACCCUGUACACACGGAUAACAUACCGAAAGGUAUGCUAAUACGGGAUAAUAUAUUUGAGAGGCAUCUCUUGAAUAUCAAAGGUGAGCCAGUACAGGAUGGACCCGCGUCUGAUUAGCUAGUUGGUAAGGUAACGGCUUACCAAGGCGACGAUCAGUAGCCGACCUGAGAGGGUGAUCGGCCACAUUGGAACUGAGACACGGUCCAAACUCCUACGGGAGGCAGCAGUGGGGAAUAUUGCACAAUGGGCGAAAGCCUGAUGCAGCAACGCCGCGUGAGUGAUGAAGGCCUUCGGGUCGUAAAACUCUGUCCUCAAGGAAGAUAAUGACGGUACUUGAGGAGGAAGCCCCGGCUAACUACGUGCCAGCAGCCGCGGUAAUACGUAGGGGGCUAGCGUUAUCCGGAUUUACUGGGCGUAAAGGGUGCGUAGGCGGUCUUUCAAGUCAGGAGUGAAAGGCUACGGCUCAACCGUAGUAAGCUCUUGAAACUGGGAGACUUGAGUGCAGGAGAGGAGAGUGGAAUUCCUAGUGUAGCGGUGAAAUGCGUAGAUAUUAGGAGGAACACCAGUUGCGAAGGCGGC